ensembl:lncRNA novel transcript
AGAGGUCAACAGCAACUGCCCUCUGGGAUGGCUGCCCCCUGCCCCAGCCGGGAGCGGGAAGGGCAACAGCACCGGAAGGCGGGAGGCAGGCAGUGGGUAUGUGUGUGGGGGGGCUCUGCCCGCCUUUGCUGUGUCUGUGCCGUUUCAGGCAAGUCCCUUCAGCUCCUUGAGCCUCAGUUUCCUCACCUGGCAAAUGGGGUGGGAAGACGCAAUGUGAUGUUUUCUUGCUAAAGAGCCUCAGCUGCUGCAGAAUGGGCCUGGGGGAAUCACCUCCUCCCCACCUUCCGCUUGGCCGGGCUGGCGCCUAACACGCGUAACUUCUCCCCUGCCAAGAGGAGACGCUGGUGGGAAGGCAGCCUGACUGCUGACAUCAGCCCAAUCUUGACUUCUAGGUGUGAAGAUAGAAGCUUCCUCCAGUGAAGCAGCAGCCCCGGCACUGGGCCUGCAGUGGAGACCGGGAAUGAGAGAAGCCCCUGGCGUGGGCUGGCAAGGACGCAGAGCACGGAGAGCACCUGGGGCAGGGCCGGCGCCAACGGCAUAACACAUGCUGCUGCUCCUCUCCCGCGGGGCCCAUGGAGAUGGCUGGAAGCAGCCCAACGUCAGGGCAGAUCCCUACCUUCACACUCACAUAAGAGAAGAGUGAAGUUUCGGGGACUCCACACCUCAAGGUAGUUCCACCGUGCGAGGUGCUGCGCUCACAGUAUUACUCAUGCACCUUUCUGAUAAGAAAAGUGAAAAUGUGAAGUUGAAAACUGAAGACGCCCAGCAACUUCCUGAAUCCAGCCCUCCACGUCCUGCCCUACGGGACGGACGACUCCCAAAGAGGAAUCGUUGGUGGAAGUCCCAUGUUUCGUUGCCGUUGGAAGGGGGAACUGGUCAAGGGCUCAUCUCUGGACCCACACCCCAUAACCAACAUGGAAGCCUGGAUUUGGCCCUGGAUCAGGCUGGCUCCCCAGGGAAGGGUCCAGUCUCUCCGGGGAGACAUCCCGACUUCGGGUCCUGCUUUCUCUACUGUAAUUCGAGGCUGGCCAUGCCCCUCAGUGGGCCUCAGUUUCCUCACCUGUACAGUGGGGAAAUCCAUAGGACCUACCUCCUGGGAGGGCACUGAGGACCGAGGGAAUGAAUGCCUGUCCAGUGCUCAUGAUCGUGACAAGCACUGCGCAGAAUAAAUCCGGAAUAAACGCUCACCGGGUGAGGGAGGGCAGGGAAG